GGCUAUGUUUUGCUCCUACGUGCUUGCUUUCAGGCUGUGGUUUCACAAGUAGCUGAGUUGAUUGGAUGGCUCCGUUCCUCUGAAAUGAAAUCUUACCUCAUCUUCCUCCUCUUGCCCUUCAUGUUCCCCCACACAAUACCCUUUACGCCCACCUCCUUCCACCAGUAAUCUGCCAGUGCCUGUGCUGCACGUAUGUAUGACCCAUGCAUGAGCCAAUUCAACUCUCCAAUCCAGCAGAAAACUAUCUGAGUUUUUCUGGAUUAUUUUUCUGCUAAGUUGGUGAGUUAUGUCAGUUCAGAGAGAUAUAUGGACCAGCAUCAGAGUAAACGGUGGGACUGCGAGGCCAAAAACAGCAAGGGAGAGGGAUUUGGGGAUGGACGCCUCACCACUUUUGCAAAGAGUGAAUAGUGUCUGUGCAGGGAAGACAAAGCCAGGCCAGAAGCACUGCGCCUACUGGAUGGACCCACACUCUGUGAGACCCCACUAUUACAGGUUCUCUCCAGUCCUGUGUCUCAGGAUACAGCCUCUCACGCACUGAUGUGCAGCAGGAGUCAGAGGCUGCACCCCAACAUGCCUGUUUGAAGCAUCACGCGGUAUCUUCAGGUGAAGUUUCAGGUUGCACGGAAUUUUGGACAACUGCAUGUGUCUGCCAGAGCAGCACCCCCAUUGCUUACGGGCAUCCUGGAAAGACAGAGAAGGAGCAGCAACAUAAAUUUAGAGGGGCCGUGAAACCAUACUGGUAACAGAGGGUGGGAUCCAUUACUUGUACCAUAGCAGUAGUCAGAGGUAUCCCUACUUGUGCAUUUGAGAUAAAAUACGUUUUUAAGAUGCCUGGACAUUCAAUGUCCUUUCUACUCAAUUUACAGACUCAUAGAAUAGCCCACCCUGUUUUGCGUUUUCUUUAAAACAUCCAUAAAUUCAGUAAGAUCACCUGGCUUAAUAAAAACAAGGAAAGAUUUUCCCAGGAAUGCUGCGUCAUGAGGGAGGUUUCUUUUGUGAUAUGGUAAUUCUAGUAAAGCAGAGCAGUAGGUGAGGGUUCCUUGCCUCUGACUUCUUGGCAUCAUACAGCACAAAUUUUCUGGUAUUGCUUACAAUCUGAAAAAAAAAAAAAAGACAAAAAACGAGAAGUUGAAACCAUGGGUUAUAAUGACAGCAAAAUUUGGAGUUGGCUGCAGCAUACUGCUUGUUAAAUAUUGUUGUCCGUGGGCCAAAGAGAGUUAGGUAUCUGGCAAUAAUUUAUACCUGUUUUAAAACUUCCUUCAAGAAAAUUUACUAAAUGACUGCCUUCUCAAAUCCUAAAUGGAUUUGUGGAAAAAUGUUUACUCCCCAGAAAGCCUCAUUUUUUAGCUUAUUAUAGAGACAAAAAUCAAUAACAUGUAAUCUCUCAACAAGGUUUUUCUGUUCAGGAUUAUUUAAAGCUAUAGAGCUAACAAACAGCUUCCUUUAUAUUUCUGAGGUUGGUUAGUGGGGUAAUGUUAUGAUUAUGAGGAUGAAACCCUGAAGAAGCUGAAAGUAACUUAAGAAAUGUUUCCUAGUUUCUCAGGAAAUCCCUGUGGUUGGUUGUUACGAAAUUCUCUGCAUCCAACAUAAUGCAGCAUUGGCUGGACCAGCACAGGGUAAAACAAGCUGUGGCGUGGUGACUACCUAUUCGCUAUUUGUUCGGGAUGGUGCAGACACUGCAACGGGGAAAUAAAUUAUACAAGAAAAAUAAACGUAAUGGUAAUUUCUAAGGAAAUGCCAAGAUUUAGAGAGAAAACAGUAGUCUCAGUGUAGGAAAGAUUCUCAGCUCUCUCCUCUGGGAAAGUUUAGACAAAAAAAUAAUAAUAAUCUGUCUUCCUGCCUGUGACUUCAUUCUCUAGUUACUGAAGUAAAAAGCAAUAUUCCCAUUGACUGAAGUUGUGCAAUUAUGUGUCUUGACUGCCUUCGAGAUAAAUCAUCAAUCUUCACUCUGCUAAAAUAGGAACUUAUGAUCCCCUUUCAAGAUUAUUAAUAUUUAUACAGCAAAAAAUACCUGGCCAUUUCUGGAAGCAACAGGGAAGACUACAAAGGUUUUGGACAAAAUGUAUCAUGCAAAUGAUUUGACAAGAAGCCAUCAUCAGUCAAAGGCAUGGGUCAAUGAUUUUACAUAUGUACCUCGCCAGCAGCUAGUUUUCCUUCAGUCUUAAUAAUUCAUAGCACAAAAGAAAUUAGAUUCCUAAAUAAUACUGCCCCUUCUAAAUGGAAACAAUUUAAAAAAUAGGUUAAAACAUUAAACUUUAUGAACAAUAGAUUCCCAGAUAUAGAUUUUACAUGGAAAUGUAAUAUUUAACUGGCAAAGCUGAGGCCUCUUGUAUAUUGGUGAAUGUCUGUACCGGCAUGCAGCUUGUCACAGAAGCAAGAUCCUAAUAUGAAAAUAGUGGAUCAUUUCCGUUGCCUUUUCUCUAGUAAGACUGUCAUUUGCUUUCAAUAAAAGAUUGUCUGAGUGAAGACAAUAGAAGCAGGUCCCGUACUUGAGAAGCAAGAACAAACACAAGUAAAUAGGAACCAGGAAUGAAGGAGAAGGAGCCAAAAAUAAAUAAACCAGAGGAAAAAGAGCAAGAGAAAUAGGCAGUUUAAUGAGACUGGGAGUGUGGAGAUUAAGUCAAUUUUCAUGCUAGUUUUAAAGCCAAAUUAUAAAGAAAGCAACAACUCAUAUAAAAAAAAUAUGGGUAGACAUGUUUUGGCACAGCGUGCUUUCCUCAGUACACAUGGGGGCUAUCACCUUGUUUUGUUUUGUUUUAGAAGGCCUAAAGAGAUGCUCUUAAGUGUGAAAACAUGUUUGA